UACGUAGGAGGCAAGCGUUGUCCGGAAUUACUGGGCGUAAAGCGCGCGUAGGCGGAUGAGUCAGUGGAUUGUGAAAGCCCUGGGCUUAACCUGGGAACUGCAGUCCAUACUGCUUAUCUUGAGUGCCUGAGAGGAUGGCGGAAUUCCCGGUGUAGUAGUGAAAUACGUAGAUAGUCGGGAAGAACGACCUGAGGCGAAGGCGGCUAUCUGGCGGUGCACUGACGC
rnacentral:rRNA from 1 species